rnacentral:rRNA from 1 species
UACGAAGGGUGCUAGCGUUGUUCGGAAUCACUGGGCGUAAAGCGCGCGUAGUCGGCUUAACAAGUCAGGGGUGAAAUGCCACAGCUCAACUGUGGAACUGCCUUUGAAACUGUUAAGCUAGAGUGUCGGAGGGGAUAGCGGAAUUGCUAAUGUAGAGGUGAAAUUCGUAGAUAUUAGCAGGAACACCGGUGGCGAAGGCGGCUAUCUGGACGACAACUGACGAUUAGGCGCGAAAGCGCGGGGAUCAAACAGG